rnacentral:rRNA from 1 species
CACAUGUGGGUGAGGGGGGGGGGGGAAGUGCGAAGGGGGCGAUCGGUGCGCGGAAUGAGAUGGGGUAAAGAGUGCGUAGGUGGUGGUAUCGGUGUGGUGUGAAAGCGCUGGGGUCAACCUGGGGAGUGCGGGUGAUACUGGAUGACUAGAGUGUGGUAGAGGGAUGCGGAAUUUCUGGUGGAGCAGGGAAAGGCGUAGAGAUUGGAAUGAACAUCCGUGGCGAAGGCGGCAUCCUGGGCCAACACUGACACUGAGGCACGAAAGCGUGGGGAGCAAACAGGAUUAGAUACCCCUGUAGUC